rnacentral:rRNA from 1 species
GUGGGCGGCGACAGACCGUCGUAUGAACCAGUUCCAAAUCGAUUACUAAAGUUUUAAGCAACGUGGCGCGUGGUUGGUAUCCGGAUGGUUGACAAUCUGGGCAGUCACGUGUUGCUGGCU